GUGCCAGCCGCCGCGGUAAUACGGAGGAUCCAAGCGUUAUCCGGAAUCAUUGGGUUUAAAGGGUCCGUAGGCGGGACAAUAAGUCAGCGGUGAAAGUCUGUGGCUCAACCAUAGAAUUGCCAUUGAUACUGUUGUUCUUGAGUGUUUAUGAAGUGGUUAGAAUAUGUAGUGUAGCGGUGAAAUGCUUAGAUAUUACAUGGAAUACCGAUUGCGAAGGCAGAUCACUAAUAAAAUACUGACGCUGAUGGACGAAAGCGUAGGUAGCGAACAGGAUUAGAAACCCGAGUAGUCC
rnacentral:rRNA from 1 species